GUGGGGAAUAUUGGACAAUGGGCGAAAGCCUGAUCCAGCCAUGCCGCGUGUGUGAAGAAGGUCUUCGGAUUGUAAAGCACUUUAAGUUGGGAGGAAGGGCAGUAAGUUAAUACCUUGCUGUUUUGACGUUACCGACAGAAUAAGCACCGGCUAACUUCGUGCCAGCAGCCGCGGUAAUACGAAGGGUGCAAGCGUUAAUCAGAAUUACUGGGCGUAAAGCGCGCGUAGGUGGUUUUGUAAGUUGGAGGUGAAAUCCCCGGGCUCAACCUGGGAACUGCCUCCAAAACUGCAUGACUAGAGUACGGUAGAGGGUAGUGGAAUUUCCUGUGUAGCGGUGAAAUGCGUAGAUAUAGGAAGGAACACCAGUGGCGAAGGCGACUACCUGGACUGAUACUGACACUGAGGUGCGAAAGCGUGGGGAGCAAACAGGAUUAGAAACCCCUGUAGUCC
rnacentral:rRNA from 1 species